rnacentral:rRNA from 1 species
GCGCACCAGUCGCGAAUCUUUAGCAAUGCCCGAAAGGGUGACUAUGCGACGCCGCGUGAGCGAUGAAGUCCUUCGGGACGUAAAGCUCUGUCAGGUGGGAUGAAUUUUUCGACCUUAACAGGGUUGGAAUUUGACCGUACACCAGAGGAAGCCACGGCUAACUCCGUGCCAGCAGCCGCGGUAAUACGGGAGGUGGCAAGCGUUGUUCGGAUUUAUUGGGUGUAAAGGGCAUGUAGGUGUCCUAGUAAGUCCUGGGCUGAAAUCCUUCGGCUCAACCGAAGAACGUGUCAGGAAACUGCUGGGAUUGAGUACGGAAGAGGAGAACGG